UACGGGGGGAGCAAGCGUUGUUCGGAUUUACUGGGCGUAAAGGGCGCGUAGGCGGCCACCGCAAGUCGACUGUGAAAUCUCUGGGCUUAACCCAGAACGGUCAGCCGAUACUGCGGGGCUAGAGUGCAGAAGGGGCAACUGGAAUUCUCGGUGUAGCGGUGAAAUGCGUAGAUAUCGAGAGGAACACCUGCGGCGAAGGCGGGUUGCUGGGCUGACACUGACGCUGAGGCGCGAAAGCUAGGGGAGCGAACAGGAUUAGAUACCCCCGUAGUCC
rnacentral:rRNA from 1 species